GGGGGAGCCAAUCAUGCAGUCGAGCGAGCUUGCCUAGAUGAUUUUAGUGCUUGCACUAAAUGAAACUAGAUACAAGCGAGCGGCGGACGGGUGAGUAACACGUGGGUAACCUGCCCAAGAGACUGGGAUAACACCUGGAAACAGAUGCUAAUACCGGAUAACAACACUAGACGCAUGUCUAGAGUUUGAAAGAUGGUUCUGCUAUCACUCUUGGAUGGACCUGCGGUGCAUUAGCUAGUUGGUAAGGUAACGGCUUACCAAGGCAAUGAUGCAUAGCCGAGUUGAGAGACUGAUCGGCCACAUUGGGACUGAGACACGGCCCAAACUCCUACGGGAGGCAGCAGUAGGGAAUCUUCCACAAUGGACGAAAGUCUGAUGGAGCAACGCCGCGUGAGUGAAGAAGGGUUUCGGCUCGUAAAGCUCUGUUGGUAGUGAAGAAAGAUAGAGGUAGUAACUGGCCUUUAUUUGACGGUAAUUACUUAGAAAGUCACGGCUAACUACGUGCCAGCAGCCGCGGUAAUACGUAGGUGGCAAGCGUUGUCCGGAUUUAUUGGGCGUAAAGCGAGUGCAGGCGGUUCAAUAAGUCUGAUGUGAAAGCCUUCGGCUCAACCGGAGAAUUGCAUCAGAAACUGUUGAACUUGAGUGCAGAAGAGGAGAGUGGAACUCCAUGUGUAGCGGUGGAAUGCGUAGAUAUAUGGAAGAACACCAGUGGCGAAGGCGGCUCCCUGGUCUGCAACUGACGCUGAGGCUCGAAAGCAUGGGUAGCGAACAGGAUUAGAUACCCUGGUAGUCCAUGCCGU
rnacentral:rRNA from 1 species